rnacentral:rRNA from 1 species
GACCCUACAUGUGUAGGAUAGGUGGGAGGCUUUGAAGCGCAGUCGCUAGAUUGCGUGGAGCCGUCCUUGAAAUACCACCCUUGUAGUGUUGAUGUUCUAACGUCGACCCCUUAUCGGGGUUGCGGACAGUGCCUGGUGGGUAGUUUGACUGGGGCGGUCUCCUCCCAAAGAGUAACGGAGGAGCACGAAGGUGGGCUAAUCACGGUUGGACAUCGUGAGGUUAGUGCAAUGGCAUAAGCCCGCUUGACUGCGAGAAUGACAAUUCGAGCAGGUGCGAAAGCA